rnacentral:lncRNA from 1 species
GAACAGCUUAAGGAAAACAAACUCUGCUUUCUGAUGAACAAAAUAUUUUUGUACACAUUUAUUUCGUAUUAAUAACUUAAGGUCAGAUCACUCAUUCGCUGAAGCCAUAACUGACCUUUACCAAAUAAAUGUUGUCAAGAACCUGGGGGAGGGUGGGGGGAGACUGAGAGGGAGGAAAGUUGGAGGUGUCAUGAGCUGUAACAACACAGGCAGGAGCAAGUCUGAGGAGUCUGAUGCUUU